rnacentral:Y_RNA from 1 species
GGUUGGUCCGAGUGCAGUGGUGUUUACAACUAAUUGAUCACAACCAGUUACAAAUUCCUUUGUUCCUUCUCCAUUCCCACUGCUUCACUUGGCCAGCCAAUA